rfam:[Eubacterium] angustum strain DSM 1989 ETAN_contig000022, whole genome shotgun sequence.
CCCAACUGAUUAAUGAAAUCUGGAAUGAAAGCCGUCACGUUGGCUGAAACGGAUUGUCUGAUACUCCACUAUGCGCCAGGUAAUUAGCAGUUGCUUGGGGUUUAAAGCGUGGUAAAGUCGGUUGAGAGUACACCCUAAGGGCGGAAAUGCCACAGGAAAAGCGAAUUGGAGGCAAUCGAGUGUAUGAUAGGCCGGGACGCUAAAAG